GUUUUAAUAAUUUAAAUAAAAUAUCGGUCUUGUAAACCGAAAAUAAGAUGUUCUUUUAAAACU
rnacentral:tRNA from 1 species